rnacentral:lncRNA from 1 species
CCGGGGAGGGACCAGCGGACUGCGCAGGUGAGUGCGCCCCUACUGGCCCGCCGGCUCAGCCCCUCGCCGGGCGCUUCGCCCUCGGCUGGCUUCUGCCCUGCGGCGCUCCGGCCGUGUCUGCGAACCCUUCCCGUUCCGCAGAGUUGGGGUUGCCUAGGGACGCCUCUCGAACCCCGGGACCGUGGGAAUUAAGCUGGCCCAGGCUGUGCGUCCCCGGACUUGGGUGCAGCAAGCUGCAGACACACUGACUCGGGGCUGGGCGGCGUGGGAGUGUCCAGUUUCCUUUGACCUUGGGGGACCUGGGGAAGGUUCGGGAUGGGAGGGCUCCAGGGGAACUCGAUCUUGUGUAGAAGUCCGCUUCCGACGUCCGCAGAAGGGAAGGGUUUCGUAGCUGUAGACCCAACCAACUGGAGGCCAGGCCCGGGUCUUACAGAGCGGUGACACGCUAAGGAACGUGGAUCCACUCCCAGCGUAGUGCAGGUCAAGGACAGCUUUGCCUGUGUAUCCUAAACACUGCUCUUCUGCCAGUCUUAGCCUUCGUUAUAGAGUCUAUAGCUUUAUAGAAAUCUCACCCGAAACGAACCUUACGGGCUUUCUUUCCUAGUCAUCUCUAAUGCAAACUGCCGUCAAGGAGAUUUUUUCAUAUGGACUCCUGCCGGGUUACUUUCCUACUAAAACUCUCUGUAUCUCUCGUGCCGUCUGGGUGACCUCCAGACUUAGGUCUAUAAGACUUUUUUAAGGCGGCCUCGUUGUGACUGGCUUCUUACUUUUAUAGUGAACGAUGUCCUUGAACACGUGAGCUCCUGCCUCUUUCCCAGAUGCUUGAAUUAUAGGCUUGCAACAGCGUUCCUAGCUUCUGCAAGUUUUUAAUUACCAGGCACUAUUUCUGUGCACGUGAGAUAAAUAAAACAGGGAUGAAGAAGAAGUCUAGUCUUGUGGAGUGUAUGCACAUGCAGACAGCAUCUGGUAAAUUACACAGCAGCCUGUGAUUAGCUCUGGGGGUGGGGUAAGUGUGGUAAAGGGGACCGAUUGGCAAGGUGGAGUUGCGUUGGAAUAGUUGGAAUGGAAUGGGUAGGCCCCGCUGAGGGGAUGUGUUUGAGUCUAGACUUGAAGGUGAGUUUCCUUGCAGAUACCUAAGUGAGAGUGUUCUAGGCCUGUCUGGAACAAAGGUCCCUAGUUUGUCCAGAAUGUGUCCCCCUAGUUUCAUGUGUUAGGAAUUUGGUGCAGUACCUUUAGGAAGAGCAGGGCCAUGAAGGUUCUUUCUGAAGAAUGGACAGUCGGUAUUAGUGGGUAUUAAGGGAGUACGUGGCUUUGUUAUGAAAACAAGCUCUCUCUGGCAUGCUUACACCAUCCUUAUCUUCCACCUUGUGAUGCAGCAAGAAGUCCUUUCACCAAAUGGCAGCUUCUAAAGGGCAGAAGGGAAGGGGAGUUUGUUUAAGGGGAGAAGAGGGUUAGAGGCAGUUGACUUGAAUUUCCCAGACUCUAGAGGCAUGAGUAAAAAAAAAUCUCUAUCCUUUAUAAUCACCCCAGCUCUAAAUCAGUUGUAGCCAUGGAAAACACUCUUUAAGGAUAGCUGCUUGUGUGUAAGGACCAUGAAGACUAGUGUCAGUGCGGCAGGGGCUGAAGCUGACCAAGUAAGACAGACACGGUUGUCACUGUUCAGGUUUUGUUUAGUUUGGGUUUUGUGUGUGAGGGUGUGGUGUAGCUGUCUCAUUUAGGGCUGAGCACGUAAGUCCCCGUACUUUAAUCAGUUUAUACUUUAACUGAUGCCCACUGCAAAGAGAAGCUUUUUAAAGCUAACUUCUGGGUGUAUAUGUAGAAGGCACUUUGACACCAUAUUUGUGUAGCAAACCAACAACAGGUUCCCCAGGAUCUUCCCAGCCAUGGACUUUUGGACCGGGUUUACAGUAGCACCUUUCUUAAUUCUGUGAAACAGGCUCUCAUUGAGUUAACCAGGCUGGCCUCGGCCACACUCUGGCCUAAGCAGCCAUUGAUCCGUCACAUCACCCUGCCCCACCAGGCCCAGGAGUGUUUUUUUCUUUUGAAUGCUUUGGGGGAGCUGCUUUUAUAGUCUUGCCUGGUAGUUCAUGCUGGCCUGAACUUUUACCAUGCCAAACCUGAAGUCGUAUUCACUCCCUGAAACCCAUGCCAGAAAGCCAGAUGUGUUGCCAAGAUGAGAGAGAGACGACUUAUAUACACCAUGUAUACAAACAACAGUAAUUAACAUGAAUAAUCCAGGAAGCCGGGCGUGGUGGUGCACACCUUUAAUCCCAGUACUCGGGAGGCAGGCGGAUUUCUGAGUUCGAGGCCAGCCUGGUCUUCAGAGUGAGUUCCAGGACAGCCAUGGUUAUACAGAGAAACCCUGUCUCGAAAAAAGAAGAAGAAAACUGUCCAGGAGUGGACACCUGUAGUCUCCAGUCACCAGCACUUUGGAGGCAGAAGAGUUUCAAGGCAGCCUAGAGAAUUUGAGCUACCUGAGACCCUGUCUCAAAGCAAGGCAGUGGAAAGUCAUGAGAAGCGGGACAUGGUGUGACGUGCUUGUAAUCCCAAAGUGUGGGAGCCCCGGGGAGGCUGUGAACUGAAGGACAACAGGGCUAUAUAACAAGACCUUGCCUUGAAAAGAAAGAAAGGAAAGCCACUAGCUUCUGUUUUGAGUCACCAGGCAGAUGCUGUUACAUUAACUAAAAUGAAGAAGGUUCCAGGUUCAGCAGGUCUGAUAUCACGUGUUUGGUUCUGGGUUUGGUCAUGUCAGACACUUAGUUAGACAUUGUGUCUGUGGGCCUCAGCAUAUAGCCAUACCCGCAGCUAUGAUUUAUUACAUUGUGGGUUUAUGAUGCAAAGU